rnacentral:rRNA from 1 species
AUUGAACGCUGGCGGCAGGCCUAACACAUGCAAGUCGAACGUGUGCCGGACGUGUGAGUAAUGUCUGGGACUCUGCCUGAUGGAGGGUGAUAACUACUGGAAACGGUAGCUAAUUCCGCAUCCCAUCAGAUGUGCCCUGAUGGGAUUAGCUUGUUGUUGGGGUAACGGCUCACCAAGGCGACGAUACCUAGCUGGUCUGAGAGGAUGACCAGCCAAACGGGAACUGAGACACGUUCCAGACUCCUACGGUAGGCAGCAGUGGGGAAUAUUGCACAAUGGGCGCAAGCCUGAUGCAGCCAUGCCGCGUGUAUGAAGAAGGCCUUCGGGUUGUAAAGUACUUUCAGCGGGGAGGCGGUACCCGAAGAAGAAGCACCGGCUAACUCCGUGCCAGCAGCCGCGGUAAUAG